rfam:Hepatitis B virus DNA, complete genome, isolate: Yamagata-3.
UUGCUCGGCAACGGUCUGGUCUGUGCCAAGUGUUUGCUGACGCAACCCCCACUGGUUGGGGCUUGGCCAUAGGCCAUCAGCGCAUGCGUGGAACCUUUGUGUCUCCUCUGCCGAUCCAUACUGCGGAACUCCUAGCCGCUUGUUUUGCUCGCAGCAGGUCUGGAGCGAAACUCAUCGGGACUGACAAUUCUGUAGUGCUCUCCCGCAAGUAUACAUCAUUUCCAUGGCUGCUAGGCUGUGCUGCCAACUGGAUCCUGCG